AUGGUCAACAACUUUUUACAGGUAGUAUUAUUCCACAAAAUUUCAACAUAUAUAUGUCAAAGUUAUUACUCUAAUAUUUUUCUAUUAUUGUUUUGCCCAAUUAUAGUGAAUUUUAUUCUGAUCUUGUCUAGACUGAAGCUGGCACCAUAUUCAAUUACGGACAUUCCUACAUUGAUUGUCAAGGUGUUGAAAUAUCCACCAUGUAAUUUUUUCUCCACACUCACAGAGAGGCUCACGGUAAACCUCCUAAAGCAUCUUAUUAAAAGAGGUAAUGAGCUUUCUUGUUUCAAGGCCCUCAAACUUAACCUUUUUUUCCAAUAUUUAGAAAAGGCUUUUUCAGUUAACGCAACUCUUUCUUGCCUCAAAUUUUCUUUAAAAUUGUGAUGCAAAUAUAAUUCUCUGUAGUGAAUCUCUCUAACCUUUUCUAAAUUGAAAGCAUUAUGCAAACAUUUAUAGCAAUUUAAACAAUCAUUUUGGAUAGCAAUUUUAUGAGUCAAUAUUUCUUUCCAAGAAAAUGUUUGGCAAACUAUAAUUUUGGAGAAAAUAUUAACAUUUUAGUUUCCAGAAAUGAUUGUAUUUGUACUAUGAAGCAGAA
rnacentral:lncRNA from 1 species